rnacentral:rRNA from 1 species
AUUGAACGCUGGCGGCAUGCCUUACACAUGCAAGUCGAACGGCAGCGCGGGGGCAACCCUGGCGGCGAGUGGCGAACGGGUGAGUAAUAUAUCGGAACGUACCCAAGAGUGGGGGAUAACGUAGCGAAAGUUACGCUAAUACCGCAUACGAUCUAAGGAUGAAAGUGGGGGACCGCAAGGCCUCACGCUCCUGGAGCGGCCGAUAUCUGAUUAGCUAGUUGGUGGGGUAAAGGCCUACCAAGGCAUCGAUCAGUAGCUGGCCUGAGAGGACGACCAGCCACACUGGGACUGAGACACGGCCCAGACUCCUACGGGAGGCAGCAGUGGGGAAUUUUGGACAAUGGGGGCAACCCUGAUCCAGCAAUGCCGCGUGAGUGAAGAAGGCCUUC